UCCCUGGUGGUCCACUGGCUAAGACUCUGCAUUACCAAUGCAGACGGCACAGGUUCGAUCCCUAGUCAGGGAC
rnacentral:tRNA from 1 species